rnacentral:tRNA from 1 species
GGAGGCAUAGCUCAGCUGGUUAGAGUACAUGCUUGACAUGCAUGGGGUCAUUGGUUCAAUUCCAAUUGUCUCCACCA